rnacentral:piRNA from 1 species
UGUGGCUUCUCAUCCCUAAUGAUGUGAC